UGACGCUAUUGGAGACUCCUGCGGUUUGAUUCAUGUCCAGAGGAAGUUGAGGGGCCCAGAUUCUCUACCUUCAAAACUUCCUAGGCGCGUGGAGGGUGGCGACAGAGGUGCGCGCCUCGGGGGAGACGCGAGGUGGGUCCUCCUUCUGCAGCCGAGUCUGGGCGAGCGCGAGGGGAGCCUCCACGCUGCAGGCUUCUGUGCAGGGGCGGUAAAAUCCGCAGCCCAGAGCUGGAGAAGGAGAAGCAGCUGCUGGGACCCCGGAGGGAAGCCGGGCCGGCGCCAGCGGCUCCGAGGGCGCUCUGCCCAGUGCUGCCUCCCCGGGAAACAGUUCAGGACGCUCAAGACCAGAAGCGGGAGCAAACCCAAAAGGAGCUCCAAGGAGGUGUGUGUGGGGAGAGCCAGGGGGACGCAGGACUAGGCUCUUUCCUGCGCAAGGGGUGGGGAAACCCGCGAAAGCCAGGGAGUCGCGCGCACUCACGCCCUCCCGCCACCAGGGCAGAGCCACCGCUGCAAGGAGCCCACGGGUGCGCGCUCCGCUCCAGGGCGGAUCUUUCCACACCCCCCUCACCCUCAAAAGCUCAGGCUGGAGCGGUCAUCAGUGCGGACUCCGGCACCCCACCCACCCAGCAGGGGUUAAGGAGGGACUGGUGCCCACUCUUGCCUACAGCUCCUGCGCAGGGCUCCAGCCGCCAAAUCUUCCCGGGAUGGUCGGGAGGUGGCAUAAGAGGUUUUGCCAGGAACCACUGCACAGGCGAAAG
rnacentral:lncRNA from 1 species